CCUACGGGGGGCAGCAGUGAGGAAUAUUGGUCAAUGGGCUUACGCCUGAACCAGCCAAGUCGCGUGAGGGAAGACUGCCCUAUGGGUUGUAAACCUCUUUUGUCAGGGAGCAACGCCGGCUACGUGUAGCCGGACUGAGAGUACCUGAAGAAAAAGCAUCGGCUAACUCCGUGCCAGCAGCCGCGGUAAUACGGAGGAUGCGAGCGUUAUCCGGAUUUAUUGGGUUUAAAGGGUGCGUAGGCGGAUUUUUAAGUCAGCGGUAAAAUGUCCGGGCUCAACCCGGGCCGGCCGUUGAAACUGGGGAU
rnacentral:rRNA from 1 species